AAUACGAGAACGCCAUUCAGAACCUGUAAAGUAGCUACUAAAAUGUAAAUAGCUGAAUAACUGGAAGAUUAAAGCAAAACCAAUGGAAAUUGGACUGGGCAGAAUAAAUUUCAAGAAAUCUACUUAUGUGCAGAUUAUAGAAAAGCCCAUGGGGUUGAUGGAAGCUUAAAUGUGAAUUACUUUAUCUACCAUCACUAUAACAGCCCUCUCUACAUGCGCUAAUGCCACAUCCAAU
rnacentral:misc_RNA from 1 species